CCAGUCAUGGGCUAUGGGCCACCUCCCUCUCUUCCACCUACUCUAUUUGCUAAGAUGACCUGAACUGGAUGAGUGGCUGGACAACUAUUCUGAAAUUUGAAGAGGACUGCGCAUGGAGACAGACUAUGGUGACAAGGUCAGAAUGCAACUUACAGGGAGCUACACAUCUGUUAUGAAUUUACUG